UGUGCUCUUGAUGUAGAUUCUCCUGUUGCU
rnacentral:piRNA from 1 species